UUGUUAACCAGCACCCCAGGUGGUUCCCAUGCAGGUGACCGAAGUCCACCCUUGAGGAAGCAUUAACCCAACCCUGUGCGGCACAGAGGGUAUUUCAGGCACUGGAUUGGUCUGGACCCCAAGCAACCGGUUUCUGGCGAUCAGUUAGGGCUCUGGCUGCAGCUGGGAGCGGAUUGGGGCGGAGGGAGGCAGAGGGCGGUAAUAAAGAAACAACAGGAAGCUCUGCUUUUAUUAGCCCUGGGUAGUAGCAGCUGCAGGUGAGAAACAGAUUAGAUCAAGGCUAUCCAGUUGCAGAGCCCACGAGCUGAGCCAUGCACUGUGGUUCUGCUGGAGCAGAUGAGAUGUAUGAGUUCCCUGCAAACCCUCCUGUUUGUCUCAAGAGUGGGAGCCAUGAAAAGCACCCCAAGAGUAGGGGGGAGACUUCAUGGGAGCAGCCCUCAGAGAGACCCAGAAGAUGCUCCUGUGCUCCUACCCAGAAAUUCAGUCUCUUAAGGACCUUAGAGACAGUUUCAUUCAUGCAUUAGUGAGGAGCGAUGCCUACAACUUGCAAAUGGAGAAACUGAGUUCAGAAAGGAGGGAGUGACUUGUCCAAGGUCACACCACAAGCUGGUGGUAGAAAUCCCUCCAGAAUGCAGGCAUCCCAACAUCUGGUUUUGUCCAUUUCUCCAUUCCCCUGACUCCUCACAAAUGACUUGUCCCCUUGUCCCCAGCAUGGUGAUCUCUACCGGUCCUGAGCAUUUAAUAUGGGCCAGACUCUUCGCCUUACUCUGACUCUCCAAGCCACCCUAUGAAGUGGUAUCCAAAGGCAACUUACUUACUUAAAUACAUGGCUUAUUGAUAGUAUGUUACAAAACACAUAAAAUAAUAAUUGAUGUAUCUGCAUUUCAUGACCACCCUAUAAAUUGCACAAUUCCUAUUUUACAGAUGAGAAAAUUAAGGCUCAGAGAUGGGAAAAGACUGUCUCAGGGACACACAGCGAGCAAGCAACAGGGUGAGGAUUAGUAUCCAGGCAUCUCUGACUCCAAAGCAGGGGUGUCUUGUCCACACCCCAAGCUGCUGUCAGGGAACAGAUGGGAGAGCCUGCAAGGGGAGGUGAGAGGAAGGUGCUGAGCCCCAGUCAUGAGCGAGGUGACAGUUAUUGUAGUGGCUAAACAGGUGGCCCCUGAGAUCAGGCUGCCUGGGCUGGAAUCCUGGUCUACCACUCCUUAGCACUGUGCGUUCAGGCAAACCAUUGGUCCGCUCUGAGCCUUGACUUCCUUAUCUGUAAAAUGGGCGUGGUAAUAAUAUGCCACCCUCAUUAGGUUCCUGGAAGGGUUAAAUGAGUGUGUAGCCCAUGGUACAUGCAAUGGAAGUGCUGCCUCUUAUUUGUGUGGCAUUCUGCAGUGACUGUCUCGUGUACUCUCAAUAGUGCUUAUAACUCUUACGGGUUCUGGAGCUAGCCACCUGGCCUCUGCUACCACUUCCUAGCAGGGCGGCAGAGCUUAGAGGGAGAUUUAAGGUGAGGAUGGUGAGGUUUAAGUCCUGGGUCCCUCAUUGGCAUGGCCUUGUACUUCAUUAUUUAAAGAGACCCCCCCGCCCUCAGUAUUGUAUAACCUUUACUGACAUCCUGCCAAGCCUGGAUCUGCCCCUGUGUGAGGAACUCUACCUCUCUGUGUGCCUCAGUUUUCUCAUCUGUUAAGUGGGAAGAAUGUUAAUUGUGCCAAAUAAAUGAAUUAAUACGUGUAGAAUGCUUUAAAAGUGCCUGGUGCAUAGUAAAUGCCCAAUACCUAUUGGCUUCUUAAGUAAAUCUCCAGUGGUAAAUGUGCUUAAGUGCUAGUAAACGUGUUAAAU
rnacentral:lncRNA from 1 species